UUUGUAUUUUAUAUCAAAUCUGAUUAUUAUAAUAUGUCCACUAUGUGACUAAAAACAUUAAAAAAGUAUAGCCACCAUUUUUGACACAUAUUUGUCAAAAUACACGAUUUUUCCGUUUGAUAAGAUCACAUGACUUACAGAAGAAAAAAAACGGGUGGAUCCGUACGUUGUAAAUCUAACCAAAUUUUAUGACAUGUGACAAAAAAUGUUCAAUACGGUUGUGUUGGCAUAGUUGUCCAUUUAUGAUUCAUCACCUUCAAGACGAAGUUCUUCCUCUAUGCAUAAUUGUCCAUUUAUGGUUCAUCAUCUUCAAGACGAAGUUCUUCCUCUCUACCUCAAUGAUUCCAUGUGAAAGAAAAAACCUCAUUGAUCAAAAAAAAAAGAAAAAAAAAAAAACCUCAGUAGACUGUAUAAUAUAGUGUAUAAUCAGUAAAUAAUAACUGCAAACACAACACGUUCACAAAUAUGAAUACGAUGAACAUUGAUACACAAAAAGAGGAACAAAACUCGCAUCAAACAUGAAAAAGUGUCAAAUUAAUUCAAGAUCAAGGGGCUAUAAGCUAUAACUGAAUUGUCAAAAAUCACUUAUAUAUUAGUGUUAGUUUCUGUAAAACCAAGUGUUUGUUUCUGUAAACAAGACAUGGCUCAACGACAGAACUUUUUGUGGAUUCACCGCUGAUUGCCGAGGUUUUAGCUGUUCGCGAAGCUCUGCUUCAGGCCAAGGCUUUCUAACUCUCCAAAAUUUGUCUCGAAUCAGAUAAUCAAGUGCUGAUCAAUCAGCUCACCUCGAAAGUCGAAACGUUACUGAACUCUACGAAAUCAAUCAAUUUGGACAAGGGAAUCUAUCUUCCUCCUUUAUCUCUCUUAAUUUCUCUUAUGUCUUCAGAUGUUUGAACUCUGCAGUGGAUGUUUUAGCUAAAGCUGCUCUGUAUAACUUCAACUUAGUAUUGUCUCAAUAAACUUUUCUA
rnacentral:lncRNA from 1 species